rnacentral:rRNA from 1 species
AUUGAACGCUAGCGGCAUGCUUUACACAUGCAAGUCGAACGAGUGGCGGACGGGUGAGUAAUAUAUCGGAACCUGCCCAGUAGCGGGGGAUAACUACUCGAAACAGUGGCUAAUACCGCAUACCAUCGGAUCUGCCCAGAUCGGAUUAGCUAGUGGGUGGGGUAAAGGCUCACCAAGGCGACGAUCCCUAGCUGGUCUGAGAGGAGGACCAGCCAGACUGGAACUGAGACACGGCCCAGACUCCUACGGGAGGCAGCAGUGGGGAAUAUUGCACAAUGGGGGAAAGCCUGAUGCAGCCAUGCCGCGUGUGUGAAGAAGGCCUUCGGGUUGUAAAGUACUUUUGGCGGGGAGGCGGUAUCUGCAGAAUAAGCACCGGCUAACUACGUGCCAGCAGCCGCGGUAAUAC